CAUUGCUUUGUGUUGGGAAGGGAGAAGGCUACCAAAGUCUUCAGGUACAAAAAGGCUCCUCUUUGGUGGGCUAAGAAGUCUUUGCAGAUGGAAAACACUCCAGUCUAUGACCUCCACUCCACUGAUCCAGAAAUAUGCUUCUGUUAUUCUUCAGCUAUUGUGUCUUUGAGAAGAGACCUUUCAGCUUUAUCUGCACGUUCCUAGAUCCCUUUCACUGCAGCCUAAUGAGACACUGUCUAUUUCCAUUUGAAAACCCAGGGCAUCACUUGCCCCAGGUGCUGCACUCACGGGACCUAGGGCAGUGUGGGUGUGAGAACUUGCAAUGGGAAUGUCCCCCCUGCCUGUGCUGCUGCACAAGGAACGUCCCUGCAGAGAGCUG
rnacentral:lncRNA from 1 species